AUUGAACGCUGGCGGCAUGCCUUACACAUGCAAGUCGAACGGCAGCACGGGAGCAAUCCUGGUGGCGAGUGGCGAACGGGUGAGUAAUAUAUCGGAACGUGCCCAGUCGUGGGGGAUAACGCAGCGAAAGCUGUGCUAAUACCGCAUACGAUCUACGGAUGAAAGCGGGGGAUCGCAAGACCUCGCGCGAUUGGAGCGGCCGAUAUCAGAUUAGCUAGUUGGUGAGGUAAAGGCUCACCAAGGCGACGAUCUGUAGCUGGUCUGAGAGGACGGCCAGCCACACUGGAACUGAGACACGGUCCAGACUCCUACGGGAGGCAGCAGUGGGGAAUUUUGGACAAUGGGCGCAAGCCUGAUCCAGCAAUGCCGCGUGCAGGAUGAAGGCCUUCGGGUUGUAAACUGCUUUUGUACGGAACGAAACGGCGAGCUCUAAUACAGUUUGCUAAUGACGGUACCGUAAGAAUAAGCACCGGCUAACUACGUGCCAGCCGCCGCAGUAAUAC
rnacentral:rRNA from 1 species